GGCAGGUGUAUACUUACGUAACAGGAUGAAGGUCACCGUGCAGCUAUCACCAGUCUAUAAGUCAUUCUAUUUAGGCUGAGUCAGGUUCUCCCUGGGGCCAUCCAGGGCACUAAUAAUGGAGCCACUUGGCUCUUCAAUGGCGGUUCUCUGAUUUCCAGAAAAGAGACUUAGACGGGCUCAUUCUAGGUGAGGAUAGUGUGCAGGAUGGAACUGGACUUCCAGGAAUUCUUUACCAUUGGCUCACAGCAUCUCAUGGUCUUUUGUUAAGCUUUCUGGCCACAAGGAUGGAUCUGAAGUGGCUCCCAAUUUCUUUCCCUGCAUGGGCUUGACACCGGCAAGAACCCCUUGAAGUUCAGUCAUCUCCGGGCCAGGCUGAGAAAGAGUUGGGUGAGCCCUGUUGGAUGCAAGAUCCCUCACUUCCAGGUUGUAAUCUAGGAAACUUGAUUCUCCUUAAGGGAGGGCUACCCAUCUGGCUGGGGCUGGACCUAACCGUGAGGAUGCUCGAGUUCCAGGCGGGGAUGCCCAUGCUGGGAAAGUUCGCACUGGGAAGGUUGCCCUGACUAGGUGAGUGAUACGGCUCACUCAUCUGCUAAGGGAGCAGCCUCUGGCCAACUGCCGUCAGGAACUCAAGCAGCUCACAGGUUUAGAAACCAUGGGAAAAACUUGUGGAUAUUGGAGACCUGGAAUAAAAUUAGCCUGGCAUUAAUUAAAGCUUUGUUGGCCACAAUGGGAAACUUCUGAUGUGCCUAAAUUAAUUUAUUUACACACACAGAACAGAGAAGAUA